CAGGGCAUUUAUAUUGCCAUUUUUCAGUAGAGAAUAUGGACUAAAGGAUUGACCUGUUGUCCCCCCUUCCCAGUUUAUUUUUUUUUCAAUUUGACAAUUUUUAUUUUUCAAAGUGAAUGGGGGGUACAGAAUGAAAAAAGGGGGAGGGGAUAGAGUCAGAUAUACAAUCAAAUAUCCAAUACAGUUAUACAAUACAGUUACUAUAUGUAGCCUGUGCUAGUUUGCGUUUCUUGUGUGCAAAAUUACCGUAUUCCUAGUGAGUGAUAUUAUUUCUGGUGUGCGGUGAUGCUAUUGGUCAAUCAUUGCAUAACACAGAGGCUUUAACAAGAGUAUAUAUAUACGUUAAGUAUUUUACUAUGAAUGCUGCGGAUGCUUUGGCUGUGGACGCAUAGGGCUACCAAUGCGACUUAUGCGGAGAUAGGCGUGUGUAUGUACUAGACAUUAUUCUAUGCUCUGUUCCCUAUAACCAUUAUUUCAUAGUCAGCCGGGUACUUUGCCCAACUGAGUAGAACCUAGGCUCUUGUUUUGCUUCCUAUUUCUGUAUUGCAUUGUUUGCACAUACUCGACUCUGUCAGGGUGAGGGGUGGAGGGGGGAGGGUGUGGUGCGGGGGUCUCUCAGAGGUGGUAUUCUCUUGCACUAUGGGGAGAAUGGUUCACGUUGGGGGAAAGUCAGUGUGCUGUUUCAUGGGGUGUCAUUUUGUGUGGGCGUGGGUAGACACUCUUUAGGUACGGCUUGUGUUGUGUGGUUGGACAGGAAAUCCGUCCACAUGACAUGGGCUUGUUUCAAGUGUUUUUUAGUGCCAAAUUGGUUCGCAAAUGCUGUUUCAUAGACCCAGUUGAGUGUCACUUGCUGUAUAAGGAGUUCCCUGGUUGGGAUUGCUACCUGUUUCCAAAACCUUGCGAUAAGUGUCGCCGCUGAUAUUAAUACGUGAUACAUGGCUGUCCACGUGGCCUUGGCAGUCCCGUCUGGGGGGAUGAAUAAAAUGCAAAGUUCUAGGGUGAGGGUCACCUGAGUACGUACAAUGUUUGAUAUGACAUUUUGGACUUCGUGCCAGAAGGGUUUGAUAUUUUCACAUGUCCACCAAACGUGUGUCAUAGUACCCCUUUGGUGUCCGCACCUCCAACAUUUGUCUGUGGAUUGCGGCCACAUGUGGUGGAUUCUGGCUGGAACUAGGUACCAACGGUACAGCAGUUUGCGCUGUAGCUCCAGAUGGGUGGCACAGGAAGUUAUUCCCCUAUGUGAGGUGUAUGCCUUGUCCCAUUUGUCCUUUGUUAUGGAUCUACCUAGUUCUGAAUGCCAGGAUUGUAUAUGUGUGUCUUUGGUUGUGUCUGCCUUCUGUAAUAGUAGGCUGUAGUUUAUGGAUAUUAGUUUUUUUAGCAGUUUUCUGUGCGUGCACAGAAGUUCAAAUUCAGAUAGGUGCUCUCGGGCGUUAGCGUUGUUGGCGUUGGGUUUGUUCUGAGAUAGGCAUGAUUUGAUCUGCAAGUAAGGGAAAAUCAGUCUGGAGGAAAGAUUGUACUCCCUCUGAAUGUCUGGGAAUGGACGGAGUUUGCCUCCCUCAUACAGCUGUCCCACUUCAGUUAUCCCCCCUUGUUGCCAUGGUUUUUUGUCCCAUGUUGGUAUUAGGGUGGCCAGGACUUCUAGCGGGGUAGCUAGAGGCACAGGGAGGUAAUGAACUAGGUGGUGCCUGGAGGCGUCCCAGUGGUGCAGUAUGUGUUGCGUUGUGGGUAGUAGAUGCGUGGUGUCCUGUCUGUGGGGCUUUGGGGUCCAGAACAACAUUUGCAGCGUUGAAGGUGCUGCCCAGUGGUUUUCUAUAUGGAGCCACUGUGGUGACGUUGGUUGUGGUCUUAGUUGCGGCACUAUUGUUAGUGCCGCCGCUUUGUAGUAUGCAGUUAUGUCAGGGAGACCUAACCCACCCUGUUUUUGGUGCCUUUGUAGGAGUUUCGUCGCAACCCUAGGCUUCUUAUUACUCCAUGUGAAGGCUGUUAGUUGUUGCGAAAGUGAUUUCAGGAAGGUUCCUGGGACGGGGAUUUGCAGUGUUCUAUAUAGAUAUUGCAGUUUCGGUAAUAGGGACAUUUUGAUGGCCGCUAUGCGGCCCACCCAAGACAAGUAUUUCCCCUCCCAUGACUGUAGUGUGUUUUUUAGGGUGUUAGCUAGGGGUAUGUAGUUGGUUUUGAACAGUGUGGCGGGGUUUUUUGUCAUUUUCACUCCUAGAAAGGUUAGGUAGUGAUCCCUCCAAUCUAGGGGGAACGAAUCCUUAAGGAGCGCCAUAUGUUUGUUGGGUAUGUUGAUCCCCAAUGCUUGUGUCUUAGAGACGUUUAGUUUGUAGUAGGAUAGGAGGCCAUAUGUUGUGAUGUGUUUCAUUAGGUUUGGCAGGGAUAUUAGUGGUUGCGUCAAUGUAAGAAAGACAUCGUCAGCGAAUAUACUCAAUUUAUAUUCCCGUUGGUGCAGGGCUACUCCGUGUAUGGAUGCAUCUGCCCGUAUUCUAGCUGCUAGGGGUUCUAGUGCUAGGACGUAGAGUAGUGGGGAUAAGGGACACCCCUGUCUAGAACCAUUGGUGAUUGUGAACUUGUCAGAACAAAAUCCCGCGUUUAACACUUUUGCUGUUGGGCAGCUGUAUAAGGCCUCCACUAUGUUGAUAAAAUGGCUAGGGAAGCAUAUUCUCAUCAAGACUCUUUUCAGGAAUCCCCAGUUUAAUCUGUCGAAGGCCUUCUCUGCAUCUAAGGACACGAGAAGGCCUCCCACGUUCGACCUCCGUAUGGAGUGUAUGAGGUUCAGUACUUUCCGGGUGUUAUCUGCCCCUUGCCUCCCUGCUACGAACCCUACUUGGUCGUCGUGUAUCAGGGAGGGAAGGAUGGUGCCCAGCCUCUUGGCAUAGACUUUCGCUAAUAAUUUGGCAUCUGUGUUAAGUAGCGAUAUGGGUCUGAAGUUGGGGCAGUGUGUUGGGGGUUUACCUGGUUUCAGGAGCGUUAUAAUAUGUGCUAACAACAGCUCCUCAGGGAGCUUUUUCUCCUGGACAGCUGAGUUGAAUAGCUGGGCUAGGGGGUUUGCAAGGGUUGAUUUGAAUUUUUUGUAAUACAGAUUUGUGAACCCGUCUGGGCCCGGGGCUUUGUUGGUGGGAAGGGAUUGUAUGGCUUCCUCUACUUCUGUGUUUGUGACUGGCUGCUGUAGUGUGGCCACCUGGUCUGCGGUGAGGGUCUGUAGUGGAGUGUCUUGAAGAUAGGUUGUGAUUUCCUGGUUGUUCGGUACCUGCAGUUGGUUUGAGUGUGUUAGGUUAUACAGUUGCUGGUAGUAGUUUGCAAACGCAUUGCUUAUUUCUAUGGGGGAUACAACCUUUGUGUUGUUGGCUGUGUAUACAUAUGGUAUUUUGGCGUUUGUCUCUACUUUCUUCAGCUUAGUUGCUAGUAUUCUACUGGCUCUGUUGCCCUGGGUGUAGUGUGUGGCUUUUAGUUUUCGGAGGUUGUAUCCGACUUGUUGCAGAGUGUGUGUUUUGAUUUUUUCCGAUAUGUCCUUAAUUCUUUGUUGUGUGUCCGCAGUUGGUUGGGUUUUGUUUUUGUGUGUGAGGUCUGACAGCUGUUUGUGCCAGGCUAUCCAGCUGGCUCGCCGUGUUUUUUGCGUGUGAGAGGCCUGCUUGAUGAGGAGCCCUCUGAUUACAGACUUGUGUGCCUGCCAUGUAGUGCUAAUAGAGGUGUCUUCUGGUUUGUUCAGAGUGAAAAAGUCGUCGAUGGCCUUCUGUAUUGUGUCCGUAAAGGAGUUGUCUGUUAGUAGGGACUCGUUAAGUCUCCAGGGGCUUUUGUGUUUAUAGUCAUAGCUAUCCUUAAGGGUUAGGGUUUGAGGGGCGUGGUCCGACCACGAGAUGGCGCCUAUAGAACAUUCCAGCACUUGGUCUAGGUGACGGCCCUCAAUAUGGAACCUGUCUAUUCUAGUGUAUGUGUUGUGUGCGGCGGAGAAAUAUGUGUAGUCUUUGUCUUGUGGGUGUAGGACUCUCCACACAUCAUACAGCCCCCGUUCCUCUAGUAGUUUUAGGUGGUUCGUGCAGGCUGUCUGCUGUCUGGAGCUUGUCGUGUGGGGGGUUUGGGUCGUAGUAUCCAUGUUAGGAUCUAGGAUGUGGUUGAAGUCCCCGCACAAAACCAGUAUUCCUUCUUGUGGUGGGCGAAGGAGAGACAGGAUUCUGUGUAGGAAGUUCCUUUGGUUUGUGUUUGGGGCAUAUGCGUUGGCAAUCGUGUAUUUGUUAUUGUUGAUCGUGCACCCUAGUAUGAGGUAGCGGCCCUCCGGGUCUGUUCUCAGAGAGUGGUAUUGGAAGGAGACCUGGCUGCUAAUUAGUAUUGAUACGCCCUUAGUUUUGUGUCCUGAUGUGGCAUGAUACUGGUGUGGGAAUUGUGACGGUUUGAUUUGUGGUGUUGUCUUGAAAUGUGUUUCUUGGAGGCACAGUACGUCUGGUUGUGUCUGUUUAAAAUCCCUAAGUAAACAGUGUCGUUUAUAUGGGGUGUUUAGUCCCCUAACAUUGUGGCUUUGUAUUUUCAUACAGUUGAUGGGGUUGGUGUCUGUCUGUUAUUAUUGUGGAUUCGGCCUCUAGUGUACGUGCCCUUUGGGUCGUCUCCGUGGGUGUUUUUACGUGUCUUUCCCUUUGGUCUGGGUGGUUUUUCCCCCUCAGGGUCUGAGCGUUCACGGAAGGUAAGUCUUUCCUUAGGCUUUUGGUAAGAUACUCUAAAUACUCCCUGCAGUGCUCGCAAGUUAUAGUACUCUCUUCCAGAGAGGUUGGGGGGGGGGGGUAGGAGAAGGGGGGGAAUAGGGGAAACCGUGCCGUGAGUGGACGGUUAACAAGAAGAACUGUAGUAAAGCCCGGUUUGGGGCUACGUAACUGUACAGUAGUACCAUGUGGGAGCGUGGUACUUAAGAGUUUGGAUAACAUAGGUAACCCGGCCUAAUUGUCGCUGUGACCACAUGCUCAGUGUGAGUGGUGCUUGACCCCUUCUUAGCCCGGUGUCUCUGGGCAUCUAUUUGGGUUCUGGGGGCCGUUUGCGACAUCAUAUAGCCUUAACCUUUCCCUGCUCUUAACAAUAUUCAACAUAAAAAACUGUAACAUUAACAGUGGGUUCUGCCGACUCAUUUCUCCAGCCGGAGCUUUAGUGUGUGUAAGCCAAUGAAGUGUGGGCAUUUGAGUUCCGCUAUCGCGGGUACAUAGUGGUGUAUGUCAGCGUGUGUGAGUGUGUGGGCGGUGUGUGGUUUGUGUAUGGGGUAUCACCCCAAUAGACUUACAACGGUUGGUCUGCAUGUCUCCUGUUAAAGUUCUGCAUGUGGCGUUGCACCAUCAUAGUCCAUGGUUGGUGCUGCAAUUCCAACACGUUGCGUUGGCUAAAAGUUCGUGUUGGGUAGAGACCGAUUAGGCCGUAACUCGUUGGGUGGAGGUUGGUGUAGUGAGACUGAGGUAAACUUCUCCCGGUUCGGGCGGCCUCUUCCUCGCUCAGGUGCGUGCUUUCUUCCAUUCAGGCUGGAUUCUGGUGGGUUGUGUCUUGCUGUUUCCUUGUGGUUGCGUUUGGAUACCCCAUCUUUUCAGGGUUUUCCUUCCCUCGUCUGGGGUGGUGAUGGUGUGGAUUGCCCCAUUCCUGUGCACCAGUAAGCGAACCGGGUGGCCCCAGCGGUAUUGUACCCCCUGUUGUCGCAGAGCAUCAGUGACCUCUUUAAACUCUCUCCUCUUCUGCAGGGUGAGAGCGGAAAGGUCUGUGUAGAUUUGUAUUGCUUGGUAUUUCUCAGGGAGGUGUUUGUUCUGUCUGGAGGCUUUCAUCAGAGCCUCUUUAGCAUGGAAAUAAUGCAUGUGGGUGAGAAUGUCUCUGGGGGCUUCCUCCGGUAAAAAUUUCGGUUUGGCGACUCUGUGUGCCCUGUCCAUAAGUAGGACAUCUGCGGGUAAGUCAGGAGCCAGGAUUUUGAAAUACUCCGUGAGAUACUCUGUUAUUUCUGGUUGUUUCACCGAUUCAGGGAUGCCUCUCAGGCGUAUGUUCUGCCUUCUGGACCUGUCUUCGAGAUCCAUAAGUUUUGUUUGGCAGGUUUCCAGCGUGUGUUCUAUUCUUUGGACGUGAUCCGCCAUGUCAUUGUGGGCCUCCGCAUAUUCCCCCAUGCGGUGUUCCAUGCGGGCUGUCCGCUCUCCUAGUUCCUGGACAUCCUUUCGUAGGUCAGCUAUGGAGCUGUUAAAGCUUUUAAGCAAUUUGGAUGCCAUCUCCUCCAGGCACGUUUGUAGAAUUGCCUGUGUUACUGGCUGGUCUCUGGAGCCUGGGGAGUCCUGCAGCGGGAUGGUGUCGUCGCCAUCUUGCUCCUCCUCGACGGGGAUCAGGGUUUUAGGUGUCUGAUUGCGGGCUGCAAAGAACCCGGGUUUGUCCCCUUUCUCGCAGGGCUUCUUCCCCUUAUGUUGGGCCAUCGUGGGGCUAUGUUUGUGAGGGGUUUGCUGGUCUGGGUCGCUGUGAUAGUCGCUGAUUUAGGCCGGUUUUGGACGGAGCGUUACUCACAUGCGACCGUCCGCGCCAUUAGUCAGGCCACGCCCCCCCCCCUUCCCAGUUUAAAUAGUCAAAACUUUUUCAAAUGGUUUGACUUCUUACCUGAUUCCGCCAGGUGUAGCUUCUUACCUUCAAUACCACCAAAGAGCUAUAAUCUAUCUGCCUGAGCUAAGCUCGGCAGUGCAGGGCUCAGUUCACUGGCUGAGGGUGAUCAGCUGACACUCUAAGCCAAUGGGCUAGCCAUGAACUACAGGUGACAGUUCGGGGGAGAUAGCGGAUGUUCCUCUUUGGUGGUCGUAGUACAAGUAGGAAGCAGGGAGAUCCUCACACCAUAACUACUACCUAGUGCUGUUGGGGUUAUGGUACUUGGAGUGUUAACUCUUACCUGGUGGACAUUUUUAUAAAAUAUAAGUUCAUGUCAAUUAAAAGUAUUCAAGUCAACGUCAAUGAGGACCAACAUUUUUUGCUAUAGGUUAAUCAAUCAAUUAUAUAGUUAAUCAUUAUCAAUUAUAAAAUUCCUAUUACCUUCUGACCGAAAUUUAACUGGCAUCAUGGGAAAUGUACGUGUAAUAUGCCAAAGACGAGCCAUCAAUGAUGCUCAACAUAGGUAAUAGCUAAAAAUGUCUG